ACCAUCCUAAGGUAGCGAAAUUCCUUGUCGGGUAAGUUCCGACCUGCACGAAUGGAGUAACGACUUCCCUACUGUCUCAACCAUGAACUCGGCGAAAUUGCAGUACGAGUAAAGAUGCUCGUUUCGCGCAGCAGGACGGAAAGACCCCGUGACCUUUACUAUAGUUUGGUAUUGGUGUUUGGUUUGGCUUGUGUAGGAUAGGUGGGAGACUGUGAAGCAUGGACGCUAGUUUGUGUGGAGUCGUUGUUGAAAUACCACUCUGGUCAAUCUGGAUGUCUAACUUCGGGCCAUGAUCUGGUUCAGGGACAGUGCCUGAUGGGUAGUUUAACUGGGGCGGUUGCCUCCUAAAGUGUAACGGAGGCGCCCAAAGGUUCCCUCAGCCUGGUUGGCAAUCAGGUGUUGAGUGUAAGUGCACAAGGGAGCUUGACUGUGAGACUGGCAGGUCGAGCAGGGACGAAAGUCGGGACUAGUGAUCCGGCGGUACGUUGUGGAACGGCCGUCGCUCAACGGAUAAAAGGUACCUCGGGGAUAACAGGCUGAUCUUGCCCAAGAGUCCAUAUCGACGGCAUGGUUUGGCACCUCGAUGUCGGCUCGUCGCAUCCUGGGGCUGGAGUCGGUCCCAAGGGUUGGGCUGUUCGCCCAUUAAAGCGGUACGCGAGCUGGGUUCAGAACGUCGUGAGACAGUUCGGUCCCUAUCCGCUGCGCGCGUUGGAAAUUUGAGAAAGGCUGUCCUUAGUACGAGAGGACCGGGACGGACGAACCUCUGGUAUGUCAGUUGUACCGCCAGGUGCAUGGCUGAUUGGCUACGUUCGGGAGGGAUAACCGCUGAAGGCAUCUAAGCGGGAAGCCUGUUUCGAGAUGAGUUCUCCUGGCACCCUUUGGGGUGUGUGAGGCUCCUUAGAGAUGAUGAGGUUGAUAGGCCGGGUAUGGAAGCGUUGUAAGGCGUGGAGUUGACUGGUACUAAUAGGCUGAAGACUUAUUCAC
rnacentral:rRNA from 1 species